CCUACGGGAGGCAGCAGUGGGGGAUAUUGGACAAUGGGGGGAACCCUGAUCCAGCGCCGCCGCGUGAGUGAAGAAGUAUCUCGGUAUGUAAAGCUCUAUCAGCAGGGAAGAAGAAAUGACGGUACCUGAGUAAGAAGCCACGGCUAACUACGUGCCAGCAGCCGCGGUAACACGUAGGGGGCAAGCGUUAUCCGGAAUUACUGGGGGUAAAGGGAGCGUAGACGGUGAUGUAAGUCUGGAGUGAAAGGCGGGGGCCCAACCCCCGGACUGCUCUGGAAACUAUGUGACUAGAGUGCAGGAGAGGUGAGCGGAAUGCCUAGUGUAGCGGUGAAAUGCGUAGAUAUUAGGAGGAACACCAGUGGCGAAGGCAGCUCACUGGACUGUAACUGACGUUGAGGCUCGAAAGCGUGGGGAGCAAACAGGAUUAGAUACCCUUGUAGUC
rnacentral:rRNA from 1 species